rnacentral:rRNA from 1 species
GGAAUUGUUCGCAAUGGGCGCAAGCCUGACGACGCAACGCCGCGUGGAGGAUGAAGGUCUUCGGAUUGUAAACUCCUGUUGCCCGGGACGAAUAGCGCCAACCUAAUACGUUGGAGUAUGACGGUACCGGGUGCGGCAGCCCCGGCCAACUCUGUGCCCGCAGCCGCGGUAAUACAGAGGGGGCAAGCGUUGUUCGGAAUUACUGGGCGUAAAGGGCGCGUAGGCGGCCUUCUAAGUCAGACGUGAAAUCCCCGGGCUCAACCCGGGAACUGCGUCUGAUACUGGAAGGCUUGAAUCCGGGAGAGGGAUGUGGAAUUCCAGGUGUAGCGGUGAAAUGCGUAGAUAUCUGGAGGAACACCGGUGGCGAAGGCGGCAUCCUGGACCGGUAUUGACGCUGAGGCGCGAAAGCCAGGGGAGCAAAC